UAUGUGAUCGUCUCUCGCAUAUCAAUAAGCGGAGGAAAAGAAACUAACAAGGAUUCCCUUAGUAACGGCGAGUGAAGCGGGAAGAGCUCAAAUUUGAAAUCUUCAAGGUUUUACCUUGACGAAUUGUAGUUUAAAGAAGUGUUUUCUGUUGAAGUUUUGGUAAAAGUUCUUUGGAAUAGGACAUCAUAGAGGGUGAGAAUCCCGUAUUUGACCAUUAUUUUCAGCUGUGUGAUACACUUUCAAAGAGUCGGAUCGUUUGGGAAUGCAGUCCAAAAUGGGUGGUAAAUUUCAUCUAAAGCUAAAUAUUGGCGAGAGACCGAUAGCGAACAAGUACCGUGAGGGAAAGAUGAAAAAAACUUUGAAAAGAGAGUUAAACAGUACGUGAAAUUGUCAAAAGGGAAGCGUUUGACACCAGUGUUGUUUUCUCGAAAAUCAAUUAAAAAGAGUUAGAUUUUGUUGUGUAUUGACCUUAACAGCUUGCAUUUCAAUUUUCUUGCUUUUUUUAGUGCACUUUUCGUUUAACAAGUCAACAUCAGUUUCUUUUGUUGUAAAAAGGUCAUUGGAAGGUGGCUUUCUUUUCGGAGAAAGUGUUUAUAGCCUUUGACUCCUGCAAUCGGAGAGACUGAGGUCUGCAGCGUAGAUCCUUCGGGGUUAGAUACAUUUGUGCUAAGUUAUAGCUUUUUAUAGACAACUUGUUGACUAUGAUUAGUCUUGUAGCUUACUCGCUUAUGCUAUUUUACCUACGCUUAGGAUGUUGAAGAUGUAGCACAUCAU
rnacentral:rRNA from 1 species